rnacentral:rRNA from 1 species
CCCAGUUCGGAUCGGAGCCUGCAACCCGGCUCCGUGAAGCUGGAUUCGCUAGUAAUCGCGCAUCAGCCAUGGCGCGGUGAAUACGUUCCCGGGCCUUGUACACACCGCCCGUCAAGCCAUGGGAGCCGGGGGCGCCUGAAGUGCGGUACCGCGAGGGCCGCCCAAGGGCGAGACCGGUGACUGGGGCUAAGUCGUAACAAGGUACC